CUCAGAUUCUCUGAUAACAGUGCAGCUGGAGGCCUGGCAGGCGACCGUGAAGGUCACCCAGGAUGGCUUUCAUCCUGCAGAAGGGUGUGUUGUCCAUGGACUUCGGGUGGGUGCUGGGAAUGUUCAUAGCUCAUUCCCCAUUGUGUGCAUUCCACUUGCUGACUAAUUCUUUUGAGACUGAGUCAGAGGGAAGGGUUUUUGGCUGUUGCUUUCUCUGCACAAAAUGUGGGCCUCCACUCUCACUGGCUGGAAAAGUUAGACCAUUCUCCAUCUUCUGGCAAGUUUACAAAUCUGUGCGGUCAGACUGGCGACCCCUUGGCCCAGGUUCCACUUCCUCAAAGCACCUCUGUGCCUUUGCUAGAAGGUGUUGGAGAAUACUAUGUGUCGAAAUCUUGAGGGAUUUCUUCAUUCUGUUCUCUCUGAUCAGCAUUCCACCCCACAUAGGGGUAAGGAAGGCAGUUUGGGUCCCACCUAAUACUCCUUUUGUAGCCCUGCCCCCAACUUGGUGAUUCCCUCUGGGGUAAGUUCAGAGAAAAGAAAAUCUCCAGGGAGUUCCCACAAGCUGAAGCCAGAGCCCCCUCCUUGGUGCCAUUGGGUCGGCUAGGCUACAUAUUUUGAAGUUGUAUUUUUUUUUUUAAUAUGACAGUUCAGACUUGAAAACCAGUACAUUUGGAAAUAUAAACUAGAUGAAAACAAGCUAUAAUGAAAGUGAAAAAGNNNNNNNNNNNNNNNNNNNNNNNNNNNNNNNNNNNNNNNNNNNNNNNNNNNNNNNNNNNNNNNNNNNNNNNNNNNNNNNNNNNGCAUGGAGAAAACCAAGCCCAGCCUUGCAUUGGCUUCCCCUCAGUAACACUGCACUUAUUUGUUUGUGCCCUGACCUCAUUUGUGGAGGGAAAUAAUGAACCAGCUUUUUGAAGUUCUUUCUGCCUUUCUAUAUCAUAAUGUGUUUCAUUUUAUUUCAUUUCACUUGAUAAAGGGAUAGGAAAAGGGCAUCCGUGGCCAACAUGAGAAUCCAAUUUGUGUCCUAAAAAGCACUGAGGGCCAGAAGAGGGAAGGAGAGGUGUCAGCAGGCAGGUAAGAUGCUCAGUGAAAGGGGAAGAGAAGAAGCACAGGCUGCUCUGACCGAGACUGUGAAAUAUUGGACUUCAUGCAGUUCAGUCAGGUUGAGAACAGCAAGACGGAGUAUGAAUCUAGAACCGUGAGUAUAGCACCACUCCAAGAGCAUGGAUAGUCAAUAGCAGCAUCACCCAGACACUUUCAGGGAUACCAUUUGAAGCCAUCCCAUCAGACCUUAUGUGUUGGAAUCUCUAUGACUCUUGUGCUCAGAGGUUGCACUAGCUAUCCAAAGACCACUUUUAAUCAACAGAUCUGUUUUGUUCAAGCUACAGUGUUGGCCUACAAUGUAUUUUAAAAAUUUAAAUUUGAUGCCAAAAUUUACACAUCUGGAUGUAAAAAAUAAUCUAGACUUCUGACUUGUCAUGACAAGACCAAAAAUGUCUGGCAUCACUGGGCUCACACUCUUGUGUGGCUAGAGGUUCUGGUCAUUUGAUCCAACUUUUGGGUGUGUGCGUGUGUUGUGGAUGGGGGUGGUGGGCUUACCAGCAAGCAAUUCUCUGACACCAGUGGAGUGUCCUACAGUUUAACUCAAUUCUGACACCAUCUACUUGGAGAUGGCAUCAUAUCCCAUAGGUGAAGGGCUCAGUGCUACAAGACUGCUUCUCCCCACUCUACUUCACAUGCCAAUCACAAUGGUUCUGACAAACCUGCUAUAGAUUCAGACUUCGGUGACCCCCUCCUCAAGUGUGAUUAAUUUGCUAGAGCAGCUAAUAGAACUCAAAGAAACAUUUU
ensembl:lncRNA